CCAUUUACUAAGAUUCUCUUGAACUUAGAACUUUGCUCUCGUCUUCUGCAGAGAGUCUGUAUUCAAAGAGAGUUUGGUGCAUUCCUUGGCCUCAGCUUCUGCAUAUGAAUACUUGUUAUGUUGCCCAUUCCUCAGGGCGGAAGCAGUGAGAAGAG
rnacentral:lncRNA from 1 species